AUUGAACGCUGGCGGCAUGCUUUACACAUGCAAGUCGAACGGUAACAGGUUAAGCUGACGAGUGGCGAACGGGUGAGUAAUGCAUCGGAACGUGCCCGGUCGUGGGGGAUAACGCAGCGAAAGCUGCGCUAAUACCGCAUACGAUCUGAGGAUGAAAGCGGGGGACCGUAAGGCCUCGCGCGAUCGGAGCGGCCGAUGUCAGAUUAGGUAGUUGGUGGGGUAAAGGCUCACCAAGCCAACGAUCUGUAGCUGGUCUGAGAGGACGACCAGCCAAACUGGGACUGGAACACAGCCCAGAGUCCUACGUGAGGCAGCCGUGGGGAAUUUUGGACAAUGGACGAAAGCCUGAUCCAGCAAUGCGGCGUGCAGGAAGAAGGCCUUCGGGUUGUAAACUGCUUUUGUACGGAGCGAAAAGGUCUCCUCUAAUACAGGGGGCUCAUGACGGUACCGUAAGAAUAAGCACCGGCUAACUACGUGCCAGCCGCCGCAGUAA
rnacentral:rRNA from 1 species